GAGUCACAGUUGAAGUGUGAUGGUAGCACACGAUGCUGGGCCCUCUCACAGUCUCUGUGGCCUCUGUCAUUUCAGGUGACAAACUUGAAGACCUUGAAGAAGCCAAUCCAUUCUCCUUCAAAGAGUUUUUGAAAACCAAGAACCUCAGCCUGUCAAAAGAAGACACAGCCACCAGUCGAAUUUACCCGAAGGUACAUCUGGGAAGCUGUCAGUGGUUGCCUUAAAGAAAGUCUCUUGUACCUUACAGCUUUGGAAACUGACUCGAGUGUGGGGAGCAAAGCAGGACAGACAUGGCUGCUGGUGGAGAGACUGUGGGUGGAGCGGCCG
rnacentral:lncRNA from 1 species